AUGUUAAGAAGGUUAUCAAGGCAAAUGCUGGUCUUACCCCUGAGCAUUAUCAGUUUUUCCUGUACCAGCUUGUUCGUGGUUUAAAGUAUAUUCAUACAGGUUGGUAUUUUGGACUAAUUAUAGUAGUGUCUGUAGUUUCAGUGAUUUAAUUCAUUUUGCUUUGAAUUUCUUGCAGCAAGUGUAUUUCAUCAAGAUUUAAAGCCAAAAAAUAUCCUUACUAAUGCUGACUGC
rnacentral:lncRNA from 1 species